rnacentral:lncRNA from 7 species
GGCCGUUCUGGCUGAUGGCCACAAGAAGCAGUUCUAGGGAAGCACUGCGGAAAACCAACCGUAUCAUCAACUGCGUCCCUCGCAUUUUUCAGCCCAUAGGAAGGUGGAGCCGCUGAAAUACAGCAAGGUGGCUGCAACUGCCUCUGUGACCUGGCAGAGAGCAAAGAUGUGCAUCCAAAGCACCGUGUCCCUGCUCUCCGGCUGCCUGAAGAAUGGCGAGAACGUUGCCGUUGUCCUCAAGGACAUUGGAGUGCUCCACAUUGAUGGCCUGACAUUUCAAAUGAAAUUCUACCGCGACUUCCUCGAGAAGCUGUCAGGCAAAGAGAAAUUCAGAAGAGCUCUUCUCAAGGCCCCCUGGCUGCUGGACAUGGUGGCGUCCCGAGCGGCACCAGUGGCCUCCCUGGCGCUCUCUGGCUGCCUUGUCGUCUUUCCCGAGUGAGUAUGUUGGUGGCUGCAGCUGCUGCUUGCUGCAGCUGCCCAGCUCUCAUUCCGU